AGUUGCACACAGUAAAAUAGAAAUAGUUGAAAGAUAACGUGUACAGACAAAGACCAUGCAGAGCAACAAAAUUGAGACUGUUAUGGCAAAGUGGUGUCUCCCUGUUUUGGGAUAAUGGAGCUGCUUUCUUUGUUUAGAAAGCAGUCAGCCAGUAGGUGUAAAGGGCAGGAAGAACAAUUACUGAAACGUGCUUCUACAAGGCAGAGCAGAGCACAAGAGGCUAGACAGAGCAUUUCAUUGUCUGAUUACAUCUAUUGAUGGGCUUACAGUGGAUCUGAUUUUAACAGGAUUGAUUGUACCUUACACUGUAGACACUGAUCCUGCUUUAAUUAAAGAUCAACAGAGAGAACUCUCAGGAUGCCAGCAAUCUAUUCCAGUUCAUCACUAUUGCUGUAUUCAGAAUAAGCUGUUUCUUUCAUGUGGGGGGAAAACUUUAUGAUCAUAGUGCUCUCUCUUUUUUGCUUCACAUGCUGAGCAACCACAGUUUAUUCAAUCUUUUUCAAAAUAAGAAAAAGUUAAGGAAUGUAUCUAGGGCUCAUUCAUAUGAAUCUGAUUUUCCAUAUUUUCUUAACAUAGAAAAGUGAUGCUGAGUUGGAUAAAAUUGAAGUCUAUGUUUGUAAUUGUUCCUUCUGCCAAUAUUGAGGUUAAGAUUGAAUUUCUGAUAUUAUUUCUUUUGCUGACUAUUACUGUUUAGUAUUUGUAUGCCCUUAUAGAAGAGACUAGAUUUGUGUGAUUUGCUACAAUUCCCUUAGAAUUAUGUAAAGAUUAUGAAACAUUAUUCUGUUUAUAAUUCAUUUCAUCUUAAAAUUGGGGGAAAAAAAUCAGUUUGGAAAAUUCUAAGGAAAUUGAGCUUUAUUAGAUAAAUUUUAAAAAGAAUUGAAAAUGAAGGUAAUGAAACUAGAUGAUUGAAAAUACUUCCUUUUAUUGUUUUAUGAUAUAUGGAAUGAGAUUUUUCUGCAUAAAAAUAUUUCUCAGUUUCCUAACUCAAAAGUCAUCUCAGGAGUAUCCAACAGCAAUCUACACUAAGUAACAUUGUAGGUGUUGAUAGAUAUGUUCCAUCCUGUCUUUUUCUGUUAUUUCAAAAGAUAUUAAAAAUAAAAGGGGCAUUUUAAAUAUAGAUAUGCCCAAAUUCAAUCUACCUUCCUUGGGAGACUGAUAGUGGCUUUAAUAAGUUUUAGGACAUUAUAAUCAGGUAAACUUCUAGUCACUGAAGUCUGUCAAAAAUUGUACAUGAUUUUGAGUGAUGGGUGUGUUAAACAACCCUAUUAAAACUAGUUUUCAAAGAAAGAAUAACAUUUCUAUAGAAGUACUGGAGAUCUGCAAAAAUAGGCAACAAAAAAAGGGCAAAUCAGAGAACAGCCAGGCUUUCUUGUACUGUUUGUUCUUCCAGUCUUUUUCUAGGUAGAUGUUUACAGAAGACAACAGACAUUUGGGACCUCACUUGUUUUCAUUCUUUUUUAUUGUAUGCAGUCUACAGUCUUACAAAUAAAAUCAUCUAUU
rnacentral:lncRNA from 7 species